CCAAUCUCAACAGCACCCUCCCUCCCUUGACUCGUGUGAAGUCGAAGCAGAGUCUCGCCUAUUUGUUGAAUGGAAUGAGCAAUUAGUGGGUGGAAUAUUAUUGUGAUCUUAACGAGGCUCGUUAAAGUUAAGAAGAUAUGUAGGGAGAGAAGGCAGGGGUGGGGUCUCGGAAUGACAGUCACGGACACGGGAAUUUAAAUGAAGCGCUAAAACGGAAUCUACGGCGGGGUACGCAGAUAGGCUGUUUCGUUCUUUAGCGCCUUGUGCGAAGCUGGAGGAGACGCGAUGCCGCGCCGGCUCGCUUAACCCGCGAAUUCAGGCGCCAUAAAAGCACGUAUCGAACUGUAUCUUUAAAAGGACCGUUUGCUCGCUUUGCGUACCCAACGCUGAAAACUCCCGGAUCGUUUUUGCACCGCGAUCGCAUUUCGGUACGACGCGACUGCUGUGCUCGCGCACUGACGACGCUUAGCCUGCUAGCGGACGGCGCGUCUCCGCCGCUCCGCCGAUGCCGCUCAGAGAGCCAACGCUGGCCCAUUACCCAUGCACGUCGAGAAAAGCACGUGAUCGUCGAUGCAUAUUUGCCAUCAUUUCAUUAAACCGCUCUCUUUUGCGGUAACGGCUACAGCCGGGCUAUUCUGCGCGCCGCUUAAGGUCGUUAAAACGAGAAAGCCCGUUUCCCGAGAGUGAGAUUGGGCUUCCAAUGGCAUGUUGGUAAAUAGGUCUCUCCUGCAGCUGAGAGUUUGUGCUGCACUGUAUUUAGACGGGAUGUGCAGUCGGUGUUAAAAAUGCUUGCGUCCGCUCGAUAAUAACGACCAUAUCGAUAGAGGCGUAAUGAGACGCAGCAUCCAGACUUUCUCUAAAAUAAUGCUGAAAUAAUUAAAUGCAUCUUCCAGAAACGAGAUGCAUGCGUCUCUUUCAGAUAUUUGAUUUCACCUUUUCAAAUAAUCCUGCACGUAAAUCGGAUAACGCAGUUUACUUGUAUGAACUUUUCUGUUUCCUAUUCCGGUUAAACUUUAUCAUUAGCCUCCAUAAACAAACGCGGCGCGAACCGAGGGGCCGGGGAAGAGAUCCCGGUAGAUACAUCGGGUCACGUUGUGUCUCCAGGAUCAAAAUCUGGAAACUCAAGUGAAGUAAUUCCAAGAGGCACUUGAAGCGGUCUCUUCGGAAACUGUGUUGUUUCAUCGUUGAACUUUGUUUUUGGCCAAACUGUUUUACAUCUCUUGAUCGCGUCACGCGACGCAGGCCCGGUCCCCCCGAUAACGUGAUUAAAAUAAUUAGGUUCAGGAGACACCGGUGUAAGCUGUAAUAGUGGAAAUGGCUUUAAAGCAGGACAAAAAACCGUGCUGAGUUGUCGUAAAUUCACUUUGUUUAACAUAGCCUUUGUUUUCGUUAAGCAAGUCAUUAGCAUCCCCAAAUAAGUUCAUUCACCUGGUUUAAUCGUCUGUUUAUCCCCUAGCUUUCAUUGCUCUGUUCUAUGCCAAAAUCAGCGGGGAGCAAGGUCCUCAAUACAGACGAACGUUUAGCUCCGUCUUUGUUUAUUUACUGACAGAGACUGUGAAAGAAGAACGCAAUAGACAGCGGAUUAUUUCGCGAUAUGCGUUUCUGUAAUACUUUCGGUAUUUUUGAGCAAAGUGACAUCACGGGUUUGAAACUUAACGCGUAAUUUCGGCGUUCACCGUCUCUCCGAGAGAGCCGUAUAGCCCAAAUAAAGCUAAGCGUCGUCAGCGUGCCAGAGAUCAUUGAGAAGAGCUCGAUGGCACGAGAAGGUCAUAACACAUCGCCAAACAGGAAAUCGAUCUUCAGGUGACGGCUGCAGAAAAGCAGAGCUCUAUCAAGAGACGUCUUCUCGGAAGCGGUGUGGUUUGAGCCUUUCAGUUUUUUUUCUCUUUUCUUAAACUAACUUACGGGUUGUAAAACUGGAAGUGGUUCCAUCGAUUCUGAUUCAUCGCUUACUCUUUUUUUUCCCCUUUAUGUCACGUCUCUAUACUGCACGUCUUUCCCGCUAUAUUUUCCCGGUUAUGUUUUCAUCCAGUUAUAAAUUAGUGGCUAUUAUGUUAUAGGCUGAAACGCCGCUACAGUUCCGUCCUGAGUGGACUUUAUUUAGUCCGCGUUGUUUAUACAAGAGUGCACAUCUUUUGAAUCGCAUUACUUAUUUUUUUUUAAUUGCUAAUUGUUCCGAGAGACUCACCAGAGUUGGUCAAGUUCUUAAGAGUGUUUAGGGCUUCAUAAAAGACACCGAGAUGCAGUUCAUAAAGCGAAGGCGGAAGAAUAAACGAAAAAAAAAAAAAAAAAAGCCGUGCGUAUUCCCAGAUUGUCGCUCGCGAAGUUGUCGUCCUCUGCCGGGACGGUGCUCUCCCUCCGUGAACCGCGCGAGACAAACGCAGCUUGCAGCGUCGUGGGGCCGUCGUAACGGGGCGCAAAUGCCCCUUUCCAUUCUCCGCUUAGGGUCUUAACCUCGGCUGUAUUUUGAAUCCGCGUGGUUUAACGUAGGCAGCACGAUAGAUGAGUUUUAUUACUUCUGCCUGUACGAUGUAGGGAGCCGAUAAACCGUUCACAAUAAAAAAAAAUAUUGAAAUGACAAACGUUUGAUAUGUGUCAUUUGUUAAAGCAAAUUAGGUCAAUUUAUAAUUGUGUUACGUGCUGAUCAUCAAGCUCGCUCCACGCUGUUCUCUUUAUCAUUGAUUUGAGCAUUAAUAAAAAAAAACCGCAAAGGCUACAUUGGUUAUUUUAGUUAGGUUAUUAGUUACGAGUCCCCGAAACCUCAAUGAUAAGUUACUUUUUUUUCCAUGGGCUGGGGGGAAGGAGGCGAUGUGCGAGCACCAUUUUCAACAGAGAUGACCCCCCUCCCUCCCUCUCUUUUUUUUGUGUGGUCUCAUUAAGUGGGUAUCCUGCUAGGUCUGCGGAGUUACACGGGAGCUGUCCAAUCACUGCAUUUGCACGGCUUGUUAGCGACAUUUAAUGAGGGUUCUCUGCGAACCGAGUGAAUGGCGCUUCAAUGUUAGAUUUACCUUGUGUCAACUCGUUACUUCUAAUGAAGCCAUUGGAGGUUUCGCUUGUGAAUGGAGCCGGACGCCUGGAACUGCAGGCCCUCUUUCUUCCGGUUUCUCCUAAAGCUUCGGCUUGGCCCAAAUCCACAGUUUGUGGUGUGGGUGGUGAGGACGUGCACUGUAUUUUAGGGGGGUCGAGCGGAGUAAAGGGGAUAUUCAUAAACAGAUACGCUGUAUCCAUUCUAUUGUGCGUUAAGCGAUUAUGUUGAUUUUAGGACCUUUUCGGGGAUCAACGUGAUUAUCCUUGAAGUGAUAAAAGAGCUACUCUAGUUCUCUCCUCGAGAUAAACGUAUAGCCUACACUUCUCUGAGAUCCACCACUACAAUCACAUUUCCACAGUUUUUAACAGAGACGUUAAAUGGGUUUUUACAUAGUCUUGUGUUUAAAAAGGAUUAAAGAAAUUACUCAGUUACUCAAAAUAAUAAUGCAUCCUAAUAUCACUAAUUUUCGGCUAUAUAGAUUAUGUACAGUAUGAUCACUGUGGAAUGCAUUUCUUUCUGCAUGAAUGUAUUUUUUAUAAAAUCGUCUGCUUAAAGAGUAUGGUCAGACGAACUAGUGAGCCAUUUAACCUAGUUUCUGAUUUUACAAUACUAGUUUUCAUCAACAAAAUAAAACGUUUUUUUUAUUGUAAUAAUUAUAUAGAAGUAAUAGACUAAGCAAAUGGUUUAAAACGUAAGAGGAGCAUGUCGAGAUGCAUCGAUUUGGGCUAAUAUUAGAAGAAGAAAAAAAGCAUAGGAAUUUGACGUGGUUAAAUUGCAUUUUUGUAGGCUACAUCAGGUUGUUUUGUCAAUCUUGCAGGUGCAAAAUGACACGAUAUAGCCCACCGAGGCCGCUGUCAAAACGACCCGAGGCAACCCGACAAUAAUUCAUAAAGGCUGGCAAUCUGUCACUUUGCAUUCAGCAGGAGUUUUCUAUCAGAGGUUUUAAAUAGGCAGAAAGUGAAACGCGGGUCUGCGCCUAGUAAGACGAACCAAACUAGAGCAAACCGUCAACAUGGGCGAAUUAUUAGCGCCUCACUUGAGCUGCUGCUGAAAGGGCAGACCCAUUCAUGAUUUUGCUCAGUCUCUUCGUCCAUUCCCCCUUUAGCCAUUCAUGCUAUAUUAUGAUUCAUUUACAAGAUGUUAGAAAAAUUAAACUCGGGCGUACGGGUGGGACAUUUUGUCACUUUAACCGAUUUAAAAUUAAAUUAGUAUUUCAAUAGUCUUAAAUUUGUGUAUCUAAAUGAUUUGUGGAAUAGGACACUUUAUCCAUAUAUCAUUAUUAUUAUUAUUAUUAUUAUUAUUAUUAUUAUUAUUUUUUCCCUUCACCAUAUAAUUACUGUUCUUUAAAAAAGUAUAGCCUACUGUAGACGUAACGAACUUUAAACACAACCUAAGUACGAGGGCUAGAUUUAAGAAAAAUGAAUUAAGCUACUAAAUUCUUUAAAUGUAGAAUUACUCAUUCUUUUAUAACAACACAUGCAAUUUUUAAAUAAAAUACAGCGAUGAAGAUUUUUUUAUUUGUGUUUCAUUAUUGUCCGACUGGCUUGUUCACAUUUAAGCGAAUCUCAGCGAACACGGUGCUUAAUAAUGCAAAAUGCAACCUGUCCUUCCCUACUGCCUAAACCGCUGUGUUUAACAUAAGCCUUUCCCUCGUCCUUCAUUUGACAGGGAGUCAAGUGACUGAAAAAUUACACGAGUGAAACCAGCAUAUUUAAACGGGACAAGCCCUGCUAUUGUAGCUUGACGUGUUUUUGUUCCUGUUAUCGAGAAUGACAGUGAUUGUUGCUCGAGAAUGAUAUAUAAUAAUUGCAUUUUGUUUUGCUCACAUCAGGUGUUUUUUUUUCUUCUUCUUCUUCUUCUUUUCUCGACACUUGCCUAAACCGCUGUAUUUAACCGUGAUACGCAUUUGAAUGUAUUAGAUGAUGUGUUGAUAUUUGAUUGAUACGUCGAAUGAGGCUGCUGGUUCUCAAAUUAUAUAUUGACAUCUUGUUAUAUCCCCAUGUUUGGGACAAAUAUCGAAUUAGUGCGUCUGCGUGACCUCUGCUGACCCACGACAGCUCUCGUUUGUAAAGGUUACCAGGAAGCAAUUUGCUAAACAUUAGUAUUAAAAAUGCUUAUCUCUGAUAUCAACUUACAGUAAUUCCAACUCACUUGGGGGGGAAAAAAGACUUAGGCCUGCGCGUAAAAGCAAACAGUGCGGAGUAUUUAUUACCGACGCUCCACCCUGGGACUGUCCCUUGACAUUCGUAAUAAAAUGUUUAACUUUUCAUUAAAUGUAAGCGGUUUAAAUACGAACCACUUGCCUUCUCGGAAGUUUAAGUCAGGAAGGCGAAUGCUGAGAUGUUUAGGCCUGCUUGCUUGGCGUUAACUCGGCGGUGACUGGAAGUGUAGCAUCCAGAACUUGUUAUUCAUGGGUGAAAAGCAUCUGUCGAAUAGGAUUUCUGUCUAAAAGAAGAGUCUGACCACAGAGAUCAAUAGAGGACGUCUGGGUUGCUGCAGGAGAUGCAGUGCGCUACAUCGCUGUGACAGGUACAAGGAGACUACUUUGAGGAGGCGCUCCGGACAUCAACAGGUAGAUCUAGGCCUGACCAAAAGCUAAGGAAAGAAAACGAGAACACCGAGUGAUUCAGGAUGAAUCAGGGGGUCACGAUGGGGUGGGGGUUAUUACAGGCCUGACGCUAACAUUUCUCAACGUUUUAUAAAACGACUUUGAUCAAGGGAAACGUCUUGAUAACACAUAAGCCUAUUGCAGAACUGACGUUUCAGGAAGUUACCAACAAAGAACUAUCCGGCGUUUUAGUCUGUUCCCUCACGGACGAUGUUUAAAGACGGAAUCAACGAGGAAAAUAAUUCUUCGCUAUUUUCUUCUUCUUCUUUUUUUCAGAUUUCUAUUGCUCACAACACGUGCCAUUCUAUUUCGGUUGACGUGAUUUAUACCGUUUUGUAAAAUGACUGAACCGUGUUAUGCUUGUCAUUGUACUGCCCGGCCGAAAACAUAAAAGAAGCACAUUUCGUUAAACAGCUAAUUUUAGAUUGAAUUUAUAUACAAUGAAGCAAAGCUUGUGGGAAGGUUUGAGCCAGGGGUUUACAGUCUGUCGGAUUUGUGUGACUAUAGUGUCUUCAAUUCACAAUUAAUUAUUUCCUUUGGAAAGCUGUCUGUGACACCCAGUGAUAAUGUUUCCCUCGUGUUUAAUUGGCGACCACUUAAACUUUCACAGUUGUUGAUUAUUAGAGACGACCACAAAAAAAAAUCUAAACAAAAAAAAACAACAACAGUUGUUCUGGCGAAAUCCUGAAAGGCGUAAUUAGAUGUCGUCUACAUCUAGUAGUCUAGAUCGUAAUUAGUCUAGCUUCUAAAGCAUUGUUUUAUAGCGCAGGUACUUGACGGCAAUUUUUUUUAAUCAACACACAUGCAUUUUUUAUUAGAUCACUUAACUAAAUUAUUUGCAGAUACUCAAGCAGAUGUCAAAACGUCUUGAAAAUGUUUGAGUGACCGACUGACGACGAUACCAAAAUGAAAAAUUAAUGACUGACAGCUGUAACCUGUAGCCUGCCCUCGGUCUUUCAAUAUCUGUGAUGGUUAUCCACAGCACAGCCUCAGACUAUUUUCUCAAAAAUACGAGUUUGCUAUUGAUUUACGACCUCUUAUUCCCUGAUACGGACCGAGAAACGAGCGAGAACGAAACCCAAAAUAAUCUAAAUAAUUCUCUACGUUUUUGGAUUAUUAUAGGGGCUUCUGCAAGCAUCCAUAAGGCUGCCUUACAGCUGCAGGGGGUCGUCAGAUUGUUUGCCGCGAACGAGACGCCUGUGCGCGCGCACUCACGCAAGGUGAAUCCAAAGGCAAAAUGUCGCGCAGAGGUAAUGGGAAGUUAUUGGGAGGCUGUCCUGCCAUAUUGUCCCGCAGGUCUGCGGUUCACGGCGGGGUUAAAGAAACUGUUGAUAUCUUUGUUUGCUCCCUCCGCAAAUCCCUUUCCUUCCUAAAAGAGGAUGUGUCCUGCCCAGCAGCGCCGCGCUCACCGGCUCGCACCCCUGUUUGUUUUUAUAGGUUUACAACAUUGACCAAAACAGGAACACAAAUAAUAUCGCGACGUCAUAAACUGCACGGUUCGGUCUCGUCUUUGUGAAAGCAAACACCCGUCCUCGAACUCAAGUGAAUUCUUUGUCUUUGGCUAUUUUUGUCUGCAAUAACCCAGAAAAUCCUUCCGCCUGUUUCCGAGUAACCCGCCAUUGUGCGGGAAGGGGGAAAAAAAAGAACAUUUGCUCAGUCUCUCCAUCAGCAUUCGACCUUAUUUAACAAUAAGCCUUUCGCGUGAAAGCGGGCGUGCUUUAAAACGCACACUGGGUUGUGAUGAUGUAUGAUAAUUCGUUUAAAACAAUACAAUUUCACGUUUCAGAUCGUCUGUUGUUGCUGUUAUAUGUUGAUUUCCUAAUUGAGCGCACUUGAUGAUCUUUGGCAUGGUAUACGAUCAGCUGCAUGCACGUUCUCCUUUCCUCUUCUGCGUUGCAGCUCUGUGCCGUCUUUGAACGCAAUGGCUCGUAUUACUGAGGAGCUUGCAGUAUUUGACCCAUCAGAACAAUAACAUUGUUUGUCAGCCUGUCACUACUCGGAUGACUGAGCUGCUAGCGGUGUGUGAGUGUGAGAGUGUAUGUGAGACUGACUCUGAGUGUAUGAGAUAAAGAGACAGAAGGGGAGGGAAAAUAUUGUUAUGUCCUCUGUAUUCCAGAACAUGACUUGAGGCUCUUAGCACUUUUUCAUUUUUUUUUUUCUGUGUAUGUGCGCGUGUGUUUGCAUGUGUUGAUAUUGCCUCCAUUAGCCUCAUUAGAUCUGUUUAGCUGCAGAGCAUCACAAACAAGCCGAACAUCAUUAGAGCUCACAUCUCUCUCACUCUCUCUCUUUCCCACUUUUCCAUUCUCCUCAUCUCUCUAAGUACUGCUAUCAGGUGGUGUAAACCUGAAAAUCCUAAUGCUGUUGUGCAACUUAUGUUAUAAAUCAAGACAGUUUUUAUCAAGAACGCUGGGAUAAAAAUAGUAUUAAGCAGUCUUUUAUUUUUUUUUAAAGGCAGUGAUACUAUUUUACAGGGAGACAUUAAACUGAUCAAAACAGCAAAAGACUUUAAUACUGUUACAAAACAUUUUCCACAACAGAACCAUUUUCAACUAGUAAUUGUUCAGAAUCACCAUUGGAAUGAUUUGAAGAUGCAUUAGCUGCUAAAAAAUUAAGUUCGUCAUUAAAGAAAAAAAAUAAGAUAAAUAAAAUAUUUAGAAACCUUGUUAUGGUCCCAGACUUUGCCUUUAUUGUACAGUUGUUCAACAGAGGGGGGGAAAACCAUACGGCAAUGGCGUUUUAUUAAUAAUUAAAUAUUUUGGGGAUUUUCAGUGGGCGGUAACUUAAAAAAAAAAUUGUAAUAGAGUAGAUCUUUCAGAAUGAAAUACAGUGAAAUAUUAAUUCAAGCGUGUGGUACUGAAACUCUAGUGUACAAGCUGUAAAUAAAUGAGGCUGGAAUGUGCUACACGACUCCACUGGACAAAUGUGAACAAUAACAAAAUGUAGUGCUGUGUAAUCCUGUAUCUAAAGUAUAAAUCCUAAAUGAAAUUCCAUAAAAGGAUUAGUAGAGUGUCACAGAGGAGCCGGUUAAGAGUACCAAAGGUAAUUUGUAACCUUAGCAACUACUGGAAAUGGGGAUUAUCACAGCCAUGUGGGCCGCCUUUGUGGAUUGGGCCAGAGUGAGGUUGCCCAGGCUACAACCCGGAUUCCUAAAUCAUCGUAAAGAUUUACAGACAGAUUUAGAAAUUCUAAUUUAUAUAGAGGAAAUAAUUCUAGAUACCAUCGUACCUAUUUAUUUUAUUCGAAUCUUUAAUGGCGUAACUAAAUUGUACGGUUUAACUGCGUUGAUAUGUGUUGUUUUCAAAUGAAGGAAGAUCUCUACCAGGCUGAAAAGCGCUUUCAGGGUGCUGCCACCUUUUAAAAAUUAAAUGAAUUGAGAAACGAGAAUGAUUUGGACCAGAGCUGAUGUGGUAACUGGAUUCAACUGGGUUGUCGUCCAAAGCUUCGGUUCAAAGCAAGAAACUCCCAGUCUAGCGUUUAAUCAGGGAGGCAUUAUCCAGCAAGUUUAACCACUUUCUUGUUGGGACUUCUCAAAUGUCUUAUUGCUUAAUCAUGUGGAAGUGACAACAGCCAAACCCUCUCUAUCUCUCUCUCUUCUCUCACUCUCUCUGUCAUUCUAUUUUCAUUUCUUUGUAAGUUUGGGGAAGCUAUUAAAGCAACAGUAAAAGGCUUCACAAAUGACAUUUGCUGACAUUCAAGGAAGUGCAUUUAUCAGCCAAGUACAGUUCACCUUGGUGAAUGAAAUCCAUUUGUGCCAGUGUCUGCCUGGUGGCCUCUCUUUCUCUCGUUUGCUCUUUCUUUCUCUCCCUUUCUCUCUCUCUCUCUCUCUCUAAAUUGAUGCCCAGCGAAUGGGGAAAUGGCGAGGUGGCGCACGGUGCGGCAGCUGCUCUCAAAUGUCACGCUGGAAAAUCUUUAAUGGGCUAAGUGUAGCCUUUCCGGCCCCAACUUGUCAGGUAAUCAGAAAUCUCUGUGACUCCUCUCCCUCCUCUCUCCUCUUCCCACAUUUCCAAGCUCCCCAGGGCCACAUCCCAACAUUAAUUACACGUUAUUCUGUUCGGAACUCCACCGCCGUGAAACAGAUAGACUGCUUUUAAAAGUCAAGACACUGGAGGAAAAAUCUUCACUGCUUGGUUAUACAUUUAUGAUCUACAGGGAAGCUUCUUAUGCUCUUCGCUUGUUUCAAAGACGUAACUGUGAAGGAACUCGACGUAAUGGACAAAGUGGACAGUAUUUCUUCUACACGUUAUGCUUCUAUAGCAGACAACACAAUUAUUGAGAAUGUAUUUCUGAUUUAUUGAUAUGUGCAACUUGUCAAUUUGUCAUGUGAUUCAUGAUUGUAUAAAAGCUGGAUACAAACAAUAAACAAGAGUAUUUUCUACAUUA